UUUGGAUAAUCCGCGGAGAGAGCGAUGCCGGAGAGCUGAGAGCCGUGCUGCUACACGAGUCUGAUGCCGGAGAGCUGAGAGCCGUGCUGCUACACGAGUCUGAUGCCGGAGAGCUGAGAGCCGUGCUGCUACACGAGUCUGAGAGAAACUCUGAGAGAAUGAGACUCUGGGAGAAAAUGAUAAAGUUGGAGCAAAGAAUGAGAGGAGGAGGCGGAGGGUCUGACGUCCAAUAAAACCGCUUGGCGGUAGUUUUGACCGUCUAUGUGUUUUUUUCCUCACGCAAGCGUGCGUAUUACAUCAGCGUAGGUGAAAUCCCGGUCAAGUGUAUGGGGCCGCACUUUUGUACAUCCCGGUAGGUCAUCCGGGUCAUCUCUAAUAACUUGGCCCACACAUCAAGUUGGCUCCCAGUAAAAUUCUGUCUUUCAUGUAUGACCGUCUGCGUACAAGUACAAAUAUGGGUUAAAAGAGAAACGCGGCGACGAACAUAAAAACCAUCCGCAGAUAUUUCUAUUAUUAUUAUGUCCAGCGGGGGGUUUUCCUCUUUUGGUAAAGAAGGUAUCAUCAUCGAGCCCUAGAGGCACAAGUUUCAUCAAUGCCUUACCCUACGUGCCAGCCAAAGAGCCACAAGUUUCAUCGAGGCCUUACCCGAGAGAGACUGCGCUGACCGGUCAAGAGAAAAUCUACAAGAGACCUGAAUCAGCAGUGUUAUAAAGCACAUAGCCAACGCUAAUUAAUAAAGAACUUAAGCAUAAUAGCCCAGAGGUACCAUGGCCUAUAGCUGGUAGAAAUGGAGCUAUCCUACGGCCUACAAGAUAAAAGCAUAUGGCACCAAAUUGGAAUCAGUAGUCUUUAAAAGAAUAAAUGGACUAGCAACUGUCUCUGGGGGAGCACCCCCGGUUAGGUACUAUUAAGCAGCAUUUAGUGACAUUCAUCAAAACACAUUUUUAAAAACUUUGACAUAAUAAAGUCUUAGUUAUUUUAACAAA